GCGACCCCAGGUCAGGUCGGAACACCCGCUGAGUUUAAGCAUAUCAAUGAGCGGAGGA
rnacentral:rRNA from 1 species